rnacentral:rRNA from 1 species
UACUGCUCAGUAACACGUAGUCAACAUGCCCAGGGGACGUGGAUAACCUCGGGAAACUGAGGAUAAACCGCGAUAGGUCAUAAUGUCUGGAAUGAUUUUAUGGCUCAAACCUAUAUUGGCCCCUUGGAUUGGACUGCGGCCGAUCAGGCUGUUGGUGAGGUAAUGGCCCACCAAACCUAAAACCGGUACGGGCUCUGAGAGGAGAAGCCCGGAGAUGGGCACUGAGACAAGGGCCCAGGCCCUAUGGGGCGCAGCAGGCGCGAAAACUCUGCAAUAGGCGAAAGCUUGACAGGGUUAUUCUGAGUGAUCUCCGUUAAGGAAAUCUUUUGGCACCUCUAAAAAUGGUGCAGAAUAAGGGGUGGGCAAGCCUGGUGUCAGCCGCCGCGGUAAUACCAGCACCCCGAGUGGUCGGGACGAUUAUUGGGCCUAAAGCAUCCGUAGCCGGUUCUACAAGUCUUCCGUUAAAUCCACCUGCUUAACAGAUGGGCUGCAGAGGAUACUAUAGAGCUAGGAGGCGGGAGAGGCAAGCGGUACUCAGUGGGUAGGGGUAAAAUCCGUUGAUCCAUUGAAGACCACCAGUGGCGAAGGCGGCUUGCCAGAACGCACUCGACGGUGAGGGAUGAAAGCUGGGGGAGCAAACCGGAUUAGAUACCCGGGUAGUCCCAGCUGUAAACGAUGCAGACUCGGUGAUGAAUAGGCUUCGUGCCUAUUCAGUGCCGCAGGGAAGCCGUUAAGUCUGCCGCCUGGGGAGUACGGUCGCAAGACUGAAACUUAAAGGAAUUGGCGGGGGAGCACA